GUUUUCAAGAUGGGUCCCCCAGGGAAGUCUGCAAAGGCUUUCUGAUCUGGGCCACCUUCCGGCUGAGCUGGUGUUUCCCACUUUUACCUGGUGUCCCCAGGCAGCCUACUUCUGGCUUCAGCCACACCCAGCCCUUCUGCAAGGGCCACAUCCUCUGCCCUGGGCUUCUGUGGGAGGUGGGUGGGACGUGGGGAUGUGGGGACCAGGACAGGAGGAGCCCAGGAGACCUGAGGCCUCUCCCAGCACUCAUACCCUGUGUGUUCCAAGGACCCUGACCAGUGGUCUCAGGAGGAGAUGUGAGACUUAGGAGGAAAUGCCCAAUACGUGGUCACCGCACUGCUGGGCAGGAUUUGCACUUCUCUGUGUGCUGACUUGAGUGGACUCACCGGAGCCCCCUGGCCUGCCCAUGUGGCCACCGGCUGGGCCCCAGGGCUGGAGGAGGCAGCGAUCACUGCCCUCACCACAGCGGCCACAAGUCCCCAGCCUCUGCGUGUUCCUGGACUCCUUCCGUGCAGCAGAGGCCUCCAGUGCUGCCUGGAGAAACCCAGGGUGAGGCGCGGUGACUGGGAGGCCCCUCCACCACUGAGGACACAGCUCUGGCUACUUCCGGCCCCUGCUCUUCUCUAGCUCCCAGUGAUGGCUCUGUGGGCACAGCCUGUCCUGGCUGCCCAGUGUCCCCUCUGCAGGGGGGGCACUGCCUGCUGAGUGGCGCUGGGAUGGUGUCAGCCCCGCCUCCCUGGUUAAUACCUCCCCUGCUCCUCAGGCUGUCCAGGGGUCACCUGCCACCCCAGCCCUCGUCUCACCACUCACUCUGGCUCCUGGUCCUGGGGUGGCCUCACUCGCUGUGCCCUGGUUUUACUUCUGCCCAUCUUUGGGCAAGUCUAGGACACAGAUUGGAGAGCAACUUCAGUAUUCUCAAGGGGAAUAUGAGGAACUCGGAGACGGAAGAAGGCACAAGAGGAGACAAGUGUCCAGUGACCGUUGCCAGCGGGCAUUCUCCUGGUGACAGCAUGGGAGUGCUGGCCCGGGGUCCUCUGACUGUGCUGUGCAGCGGGGUUGGGACGGAGUCAGCAAAUAAAAAGAGGGCACCUGUGCAAA